CCGGAGUCCAUCGCUGACCUGGAGUCCACCACUGACCUGGAGUCCACAGCGACCCCGGAGUCCAUCGCUGACCUGGAGUCCACCACUGACCUGGAGUCCUCCACUGACCUGGAGUCCACGGCGACCCCGGAGUCCAUCGCUGACCUGGAGUCCACCACUGACCUGGAGUCCUCCACUGACCUGGAGUUCACGGCGACCCCGGAGUCCCCCACUGAUGUGGAGUCCCCCUCGACCCCAGAGUCCACCACUGACCUGGAGUCUCCCAUGGACCUAGUCUCCAUUAGUGAUGUAGAAUCGACCACGGAUGUGCAUUUUGAGGACGCCCAAGCUUUCGAAUUAUCUACUGAGGUGGAAUCGCUCACUCAUAGCUUUGAGGAAGCAAUCACUAAAGCCAUGGAAGAUGUCCCUGCUGCUCAUUCAGAAGAGCCCAUGACCGGAAGACCAGACGAGCCAAGCACCUCUGCGGGAGGCAACGAGUCCGUCUCAGUACUUUCUUGUAAGUU
rnacentral:lncRNA from 1 species